AUUGAACGCUGGCGGCAGGCCUAACACAUGCAAGUCGAGCGGAUGAAGGGAGCUUGCUCCUGGAUUCAGCGGCGGACGGGUGAGUAAUGCCUAGGAAUCUGCCUGGUAGUGGGGGAUAACGUCCGGAAACGGGCGCUAAUACCGCAUACGUCCUGAGGGAGAAAGUGGGGGAUCUUCGGACCUCACGCUAUCAGAUGAGCCUAGGUCGGAUUAGCUAGUUGGUGGGGUAAAGGCCUACCAAGGCGACGAUCCGUAACUGGUCUGAGAGGAUGAUCAGUCACACUGGAACUGAGACACGGUCCCGACUCCUACGGGAGGCAGCAGUGGGGAAUAUUGGACAAUGGGCGAAAGCCUGAUCCAGUCAUGCCGCGUGUGUGAAGAAGGUCUUCGGAUUGUAAAGCACUUUAAGUUGGGAGGAAGGGCAGUAAGUUAAUACCUUGCUGUUUUGACGUUACCAACAGAAUAAGCACCGGCUAACUUCGUG
rnacentral:rRNA from 1 species